AUAUUCAGAUGCUGGUGCUUUGUUUUUAAGACUCGGUUCAGCUGCUGAUAAGUGCAAUGCCAUCAAUAGCCAAUGCAAGGCCUAUCUGAGUGCGAUCAUCAUCUAUCUUUACACACAUGAUUUUUAGCAAGCUCAAAAUGCUACAAUGACUGCUCAGAGUAAGUUGUACAUUGGUGGAUUUUGUAUAACAAUAUUUGUGCCAUGUGCUAUUUUGCCCCCAUCAAACCAUGAAGCGUAAAGUAAAGUCGUUUAACAGGGUUCAAGCCUUCCUCAAUAGCGACCAGAAUCGAUGGGCAACGAAGCUAUUGUCUGCUUAUGAGGAAGGUGAUUCUGAAGAAAUCAAACGCAUUGCUCAAUCAAGUGCCUUCAAUCACCUUGACCAUGUGGCAAAAUCUCAGGUUGGAGAAAAAAUCAUGGUUAAAGUAGUGUUCAUUUCAAUCUCCAUGUUGUCUGUAGAAUGAUAGGUCUAAGUAAUAUCUUUGUGAUAAUCUGGUUCCAGUUAAUGAAUUUGUAAGAUCUCAUAUUUGUAGUUUCUAGAAGUUUUGUUCAGCAAUCUCUGGUCCUUGCAUGAA